rnacentral:rRNA from 1 species
UGGGGAAUCUUGGGCAAUGGGGGAAACCCUGACCCAGCGACGCCGCGUGGGGGAUGAAGGCCUUCGGGUCGUAAACCCCUGUUAGGUGGGACGAACGUCCCCUUGCGAAUAGCUGGGGGACCUGACGGUACCACCAGAGAAAGCUCCGGCUAACUCCGUGCCAGCAGCCGCGGUAAUACGGAGGGGGCAAGCGUUGUUCGGAAUUACUGGGCGUAAAGGGCGCGCAGGCGGCUUGGCAAGUCGAGUGUGAAAUCCCUUGGCUUAACUGAGGAAUGGCGCUCGAAACUACCUCGCUGGAGGACGGGAGAGGGAAGUGGAACUCUCGGUGUAGGGGUGAAAUCUGUAGAUAUCGAGAGGAACACCGGUGGCGAAGGCGGCUUCCUGGCCCGUACCUGACGCUGAGGCGCGAAAGCGUGGGGAGCAAACAGG